GACGUAGGGCGCGAGCGUUGUCCGGAUUUAUUGGGCGUAAAGAGCUCGUAGGCGGCUUGUCGCGUCGGUCGUGAAAACCUGCAGCUCAACUGCAGGCUUGCGGUCGAUACGGGCAGGCUAGAGUUCGGUAGGGGAGACUGGAAUUCCUGUUGUAGCGGUGAAAUGCGCAGAUAUCAGGAGGAACACCGGUGGCGAAGGCGGGUCUCUGGGCCGAUACUGACGCUGAGGAGCGAAAGCGUGGGGAGCGAACAGG
rnacentral:rRNA from 1 species